rnacentral:rRNA from 1 species
GUAGGUGGCAAGCGUUGUCCGGAAUUAUUGGGCGUAAAGCGCGCGCAGGCGGUUCUUUAAGUCUGAUGUGAAAGCCCACGGGCUCAACCGUGGAGGGUCAUUGGAAACUGGAGAACUUGAGUACAGAAGAGGAAAGCUGAAUUCCACGUGUAGCGGUGAAAUGCGUAGAGAUGUGGAGGAACACCAGUGGCGAAGGCGGCUUUCUGGUCUGUAACUGACGCUGAGGCGCGAAAGCGUGGGGAGCAAACAGGAUUAGAUACCCUGGUAGUCCACGCCGUAAACGAUGAGUGCUAAGUGUUAGGGGGUUUCCGCCCCUUAGUGCUGCAGCUAACGCAUUAAGCACUCCGCCUGGGGAGUACGGCCGCAAAGGCUG